rnacentral:lncRNA from 1 species
CGAGGUCCCCCAGCCGGUGGGAAAGGCAGCUGGCUCCGCCUCAAGACCUAGGUCUGAGGCCUCCGCGCCCUCCGCUCAGGCUCCGGCUUCCAGGUCGCUGCGUCCACAUCCAGGGAAGCGCUGGCCGCACCCGGGCGCGCCGGGCCGGGAUCCUCCCCUUCGACCUUCCCCGAGAUCUUGAAUCAGCCUCUGUUAAACACCUCACCCCAGCCCUGCUCACUUCCUUGCACAACUGCAAAGGCUCUCCUUUGCUCUGCUGCUCACUGACAGUAAUCCACAGGAGCACAAGACCUUUAAGAACACAGAUCAGAAACCCACAGAGCAGGCUUUCCCCGACACGUGGCCUUAGCCUUGCAGGUCCCCACGCCCGGAUCGCCCUCUCAGGCUCCUUCACAAGACCGUCGCUCUCCCACUGCCCUUCCACAACCCCACCUGCUCAAUCCCCACUGCCUCGCCACCUUCUGCCUUUCUUCCAGGGGGUUCACCACCUUCUGCAGUUCUCUCAUUGGCCUCAUUUGUGGGUCUGGAAUUCAUACUGGCCUUGGACUCACUGUGUAGCCCAGGCUGGCCUCGAACUCAUGGUGAUCCGUCCGCCUCAGCCUCCUGAGUGCUGGGAUUAUAGGUGUGGGCCACCACGCCAGCUGGAACUCCGCUUUGAUACCUCCUGAACCACAGCCCACUGCUGUGUGGCCAUCCGGGCAGGAGACCUGGCUGUCCUCAAUCAUCACUUCCUCUGCACUUGGCCUGGCACAGAGCAGAAGUCCUUCGCUGCUGUUGGUUCUGAGCAGGAAAAUGUACAGUCUGCGGGUGCCUGCUUCUCUGAUGAGAAGGUCCCGAGGCCCAGACUCCAGGAAACAGCCUCCUCCCCCACUCUGGCCCCUUGGGUAGAAUUGACAGAUGGUGCCCUGUUAACAGAUGACAUUGGAAAUCGGAAUUACUCAGCUGCUUGUCCCUCUGUCAUCCCCACGGAAGGGGGUGGCCUGCAAACUGGGAACGACAGUGAACUCUAUUUUGAGGGCUAUAGAGGACAGGGAAGGAGAUGCUCCAGGGCACAGGGGACCAGAACCAGGUACACAGAAGAUCUAACUUGGAAUCUCAUCUCUACCACGUACCAGCCAGGUGACCUAGGUGCAUCCAUCACCGUCUGAGCCUCUGCUCCCUCAUCUGUCAAAUGGGUCCAUGGGAAACUGUCCUACUCUCCUCCCUGGCUUUUAGGAAGAAAAUGGGGUGGUUUGUGCUUAUAAAAUGGGCUUUAAAACUUGUGAAGGAGUAAAAAAUGUAAGAAGUUGCUGAUUAUAA